rnacentral:lncRNA from 1 species
AUCUUGACAUAUGACAGACGAAGGGGUUUGACGAGUUAUCCAUGACCUCCGUCCUGUAGGGAUCCACGAUAGUAGGACUGUAUCACACGAUAACUGCACCUAGAGGUUCAUCAUUCUAUUCUACUGGGUAGCCACUACAUGCUGCUAGGUGUCACUGGUGGAUGGUGGGACUCACAGGGAUUAUCUCGAUGAUCAAUAAACCCUAAUGAGUAGAGUUGGAAUCGUUCCAAUCCAUUGAAAGGA